AACGGCGAGUGAAGAGGAAAGAGCUCAAAGUUGGAAACUGUUUGGCUUAGCUAAACCGUAUUGUAAACUGUAGAAACAUUUUCCUGGCACACCAGAUUAAUAAGUCCUUUGGAACAAGGCAUCAUGGAGGGUGAGAAUCCCGUCUUUGAUCUGAGUAGUUGUCUUUUGUGAUAUGUUUUCAAAGAGUCAGGUUGUUUGGGAAUGCAGCCUAAAUUGGGUGGUAAAUCUCACCUAAAGCUAAAUAUUUGCGAGAGACCGAUAGCGAACAAGUACCGUGAGGGAAAGAUGAAAAGAACUUUGAAAAGAGAGUUAAACAGUAUGUGAAAUUGUUAAAAGGGAACCGUUUGGAGCCAGACUGGUUUGACUGUAAUCAACCUAGAAUUCGUUUUGGGUGCACUUGCAGUCUAUACCUGCCAACAACAGUUUGAUUUGGAGGACAAAAUUAAUAGGAAUGUAGCCUCUCGAGGUGUUAUAGACUAUUAUCAUACUCUGGAUUGGACUGAGGAACGCAGCGAAUGCCUUUAGGCAAGAUUGCUGGGUGCUUUCGCUAAUAAAUGUUAGAAUUUCUGCUUCGGGUGGUGCUAAUGUUUAAAGGAGGAACACAUCUAGUAUAUUUUUUAUUCGCUUAGGUUGUUGGCUUAAUGACUCUAAAUGACCCGUCUUGAAACACGGACCAAGGAGUCCACCAUAAGUGCAAGUAUUUGAGUGACAAACUCAUAUGCGUAAGGAAACUGAUUGAUACGAAGUCUUACGAUGGCAGUAUCACCCGGCGUUGACGUUUUAUACUGAACUGACCGAAGGUAAGCACUUAUGAUGGGACCCGAAAGAUGGUGAACUAUGC
rnacentral:rRNA from 1 species